rnacentral:rRNA from 1 species
GUUGUCCAGAAUAGAAUUUUAGUUCAACCUUAAAUUUACCUAAAAGAAUUAUUAAUCCUAAUGUAAAUUUAAUAGUUAUUCUAAAGAGGUACAGCUCUUUAGAUUAAAGGAAACAGCCUUAUUUAGAGAGUAAAUUAUAACUUCCCCAUAGUUGGCUUAAAAGCAGCCAUCAAUUAAAAAAGCGUUCAAGCUUAACCUAACAAACAUAUAUAACCUAAUUCCACACUUAACAAUAAGCUCCUAAUCAUAUAACUGGACUACUCUAUAAACUUAUAGACGCAAUAAUGUUAGUAUUAGUAACAAGAAAUAAUUUCUCCCUGCAUAAGUUUAUAUCAGACCGAAUACCUCACUGAUAGUUAACAGACAAAUAAUUAAACUUAAAACCUUAAAUCUUUAUUAUCCAAACUGUUAACCCAACACUGGCAUGCAUACAAGGGAAAGAUUAAAAAAAGUAAAAGGAACUCGGCAAACACUAACCCCGCCUGUUUACCAAAAACAUCACCUCUAGCAUUUCCAGUAUUAGAGGCACUGCCUGCCCAGUGACACAUGUUAAACGGCCGCGGUAUCCUG